GACGAACGCUGGCGGCGUGCUUAACACAUGCAAGUCGAACGGAAAGGCCCUGCUUUUGUGGGGUGCUCGAGUGGCGAACGGGUGAGUAACACGUGAGUAACCUGCCCUUGACUUUGGGAUAACUUCAGGAAACUGGGGCUAAUACCGGAUAGGAGCUCCUGCUGCAUGGUGGGGGUUGGAAAGUUUCGGCGGUUGGGGAUGGACUCGCGGCUUAUCAGCUUGUUGGUGGGGUAGUGGCUGACCAAGGCUUUGACGGGUAGCCGGCCUGAGAGGGUGACCGGCCACAUUGGGACUGCGAGACGGCCCAGACUCCUACGGGAGGCAGCAGUGGGGAAUAUUGCACAAUGGGCGGAAGCCUGAUGCAGAAACGCCGCGUGCGGGAUGACGGCCUUCGGGUUGUAAACCGCUUUCGCCUGUGACGAAGCGUGAGUGACGGUAAUGGGUAAAGAAGCACCGGCUAACUACGUG
rnacentral:rRNA from 1 species